rnacentral:lncRNA from 8 species
AUGUACAGGGGGUACCGGGGGUACCGGUACAGAGUCAAUGUGGAGGCUAUAUACAGGGGGUACCGGUACAGAGUCAAUGUGGAGGCUAUAUACAGGGGGUACCGGUACAGAGUCAAUGUGGAGGCUAUAUACAGGGGGGUACCGGUACAGAGUCAAUGUGGAGGCUAUAUACAGGGGGUACCGGUACAGAGUCAAUGUGGAGGCUAUAUACAGGGGGUACCGGUACAGAGUCAAUGUGGAGGCUAUAUACAGGGGGUACCGGUACAGAGUCAAUGUGGAGGCUAUAUACAGGGGGUACCGGUACAGAGUCAAUGUGGAGGCUAUAUACAGGGGGUACCGGUACAGAGUCAAUGUGGAGGCUAUAUACAGGGGGUACCGGUACAGAGUCAAUGUGGAGGCUAUAUACAGGGGGUACCGGUACAGAGUCAAUGUGGAGGCUAUAUACAGGGGGUACCGGUACAGAGUCAAUGUGGAGGCUAUAUACAGGGGGUACCGGUACAGAGUCAAUGUGGAGGCUAUAUACAGGGGGUACCGGUACAGAGUCAAUGUGGAGGCUAUAUACAGGGGGUACCGGUACAGAGUCAAUGUGGAGGCUAUAUACAGGGGGUACCGGUACAGAGUCAAUGUGGAGGCUAUAUACAGGGGGUACCGGUACAGAGUCAAUGUGGAGGCUAUAUACAGGGGGUACCGGUACAGAGUCAAUGUGGAGGCUGUAUACAGGGGGUACCGGUACAGAGUCAAUGUGGAGGCUGUAUACAGGGGGUACCGGUACAGAGUCAAUGUGGAGGCUAUAUACAGGGGGUACCGGUACAGGGUCAAUGUGGAGGCUAUAUACAGGGGGUACCAGUACAGAAUCAAUGUGGAGGCUAUAUACAGGGGGUACCGGUACAGAGUCAAUGUGGAGGCUAUAUACAGGGUAUUACGGUACAGAGUCAAUGUGGAGGCUAUAUACAGGGUAUUACGGUACAGAGUCAAUGUGGAGGCUAUAUACAGGGGGUACCGGUACAGAGUCAAUGUGGUGGCUAUAUACAGGGGGUACCGGUACAGAGUCAAUGUGGAGGCUAUAUACAGGGGGUACCAGUACAGAGUCAAUGUGGAGGCUAUAUACAGGGGGUACCGGUACAGAGUCAAUGUGGAGGCUAUAUACAGGGGGUACCGGUACAGAGUCAAUGUGGAGGCUAUAUACAGGGGGGUACCGGUACAGAGUCAAUGUGGAGGCUAUAUACAGGGGGCACCGGUACAGAGUCACUAUACAGGGGCUACCGUCAAUGUGCAGGAAUACAGGUUAGUUGA